AAGUUGCCAUUGUAAAACUACCGAAAUCUAGAUCCACAAAGACGCCCUGAUUGUAUUACCUGUCCUGAAUGUCCUGGCUUCAUAACCCUGUCGGGAAGGCGACCUUAGUGCCCACAGCCAUAUGACGUCAAUGGGAACGUAAAUGGAAAGCGAACUACGCACUUCGGCCUGAUAAAACAUCAGACAGUCAUGGAAUCGAGUAUUCAAAGCACGAUAUUGUCUUGGUUAGUGUCCAAAUUAAAUUAGUUUAAGUUGGGACAGUAACAGUUCACUGCUUCAGUGAAGGCAGAGAUUUUGUGUUGAACAGUAAAUUAUACCUUACAAGACAUUUAUAGUCUUUGAAGUGGAAACGCGGUUCCCCAAAAUCUUCCUAAUCAGUCCAAUACCACAAUGCGUACCUUCGCAGUUCUACUCGUGAUUCAGCUGGUGACGUCUUAUGUAUUAGCACGUUCCCUUCAACUACGAUCUGGUUACUACAAUCUGAACUGUGAAGUCAUAUGCACGAGUCGACACGAGCACGACGAAAGUGACGCGGCACAUUGUGGUUGUCCACAUAAUUUACAAAGACAAAAUAAUCAAUCACACCCACUUCCGGACCAGCACUCAAGCCACACACUCUCCAUGUGCGAUUACCUGUGUUCCAUUCAGAUGGGCGGGGCAGCGUGUGUUUGCUCCGCCCCCAUCGUACCUGGACGAAAAUAACUGAACAUUCGAUUGGCUGGUGUAAUUCGAACGAUUAUAAAUCAAAAUGUGAUUGGAUAGUGAUUUAUGAGCAUGCGCUGUGAUAUAAAUAAUAUGAUAUGUGCUAUUGUUUGUUAUUGUAAAUGAACAAUAUUUGUAUAUUUUAAAAAUCCUCAAUGUAUUUAAUCUGUGAUUACCAUUUUUGUUAUCAUUUAGUAUUUAACUAAAUUGAUGCAAAUAUCUCUAGUAUCUCUAGUACAUGUGUGACUAUGUAUAUCUGUAAAAGUGUUUGUGAACUUCGUGUAUAUAAAAUAAAAAUGUGAUGUGUA